CAAAGAGUGACCAAAAUUUCUGAUCUAAUCAUCCAAGAAGGCGCUCAAGGGGACCUUCAAGAGGAACUCGAAGUGGACGCCUAGACACUUGUUUGAGUAUUUACUCUCUUGUUGCAAUAGGGUUCGAGACCAAGGGUGCUCGUGAGUAGUACUAGA